rnacentral:tRNA from 1 species
GCACCCGUAGCUCAAUUGGAUAGAGCGGCUGACUUCGGAUCAGCAGGUUAGGGGUUCGAGUCCCUUCGGGUGUA